rnacentral:rRNA from 1 species
GACGUAGGGCGCAAGCGUUGUCCGGAUUUAUUGGGCGUAAAGAGCUCGUAGGCGGUUUGUCGCGUCUGCCGUGAAGGUCCGGGGCUCAACUCCGGAUCUGCGGUGGGUACGGGCAGACUAGAGUGCGGUAGAGGGUAGUGGAAUUCCCGGUGUAGCGGUGAAAUGCGUUGAUAUCAGGAGGAACACCCAUGGCGAAGGCAGGUCUCUGGGCCGAUACUGACGCUGAGGAGCGAAAGCGUGGGGAGCGAACAGG